rnacentral:rRNA from 1 species
UACAGAGGUCUCAAGCGUUGUUCGGAUUCAUUGGGCGUAAAGGGUGCGUAGGCGGCGCGGUAAGUCGGGUGUGAAAUUUCGGAGCUUAACUGCGAAACUGCAUUCGAUACUGGCGUGCUUGAGGACUGGAGAGGAGACUGGAAUUCAUGGUGUAGCAGUGAAAUGCGUAGAGAUCAUGAGGAAGACCAGUGGCGAAGGCGGGUCUCUGGACAGUUCCUGACACUGAGACACGAAGGCCAGGGGAGCAAACGGGG